rnacentral:tRNA from 1 species
GGGCUAUUAGCUCAGCUUGGUUAGAGCAUACCCCUGAUAAGGGUAAGGCCACUGGUUCGAGUCCAGUAUAGCCCA